GAUCCAAGCGGCAUCUUAAUGCAGGUGGAAACCUCCAUUGUUUCUGACGACGCUAGGAAGAACCCAAGGCUUUAAUAGCCAUUUUCAACAUUUCUCUAGCCAUGUUAACAACCCAGGUGCCUCUCAACUAUGGAAAGGAGAGAAACCCGUGCGACAGGCAGAGGACCAUCCAAGGCCAUUUCCGGCCAUCUCCGACGACG
rnacentral:misc_RNA from 1 species